AGACAGGAGAUUUGCGCUUCUGAUUGGCUGACCAACAUUGUUGCACAGCCCCAGAGACGCCCUACACUUUCCAGGAUUUUCCUGGGAUUGAUUUCUUCAUUGAGCUUCAAGUUUCAAAUUUUGAGCUUCAUCUCGUGACCAACUCGAGGAUGCCUCGGAAAGGAAAGAGAUCCCAGGCUCAAAAACUUCGUUGGCUGAAGGCAGACCUGACUGGACAGCCUACCGUCAUUAAAGGUGUGACCCGGUCUUCUGAUGGAGAACAGGCAGGAGACGGUGACAACACACCCAGGAUGCUUUCACUGCAUGCAUCUCAUUGCCAGAGUGAUGCGAGGUAUGAUGUUUUUUCAAGAAAUUAUCAAUGCUCGUGUAUAGCUUUGACAUUUCUUGCAUACCACAGUGAAGGGACAUGCUUCAAACAGCUUGAUCUUGACAGAGUGUUAGAGGAGGGUGAUGCUUUGUAUGUCAGCACUAAAAUGCAGCUCAUCGCUGAGGGAAGAUUCAGACACAAUCAUCUCAGCAUGGAUGAAGUACCUCUGAGCAUUACAACUUGUAACCACAAUUACAGUGUGCAGAAGUCAG